rnacentral:miRNA from 1 species
GAGGUGGGAGGAUAGCUUGAGCCCAGGAGGUUAAAGCUGCAGUGAGCUGUGAUCACACCACUGCACUCCAGCCUGAGUGACAGAGUGAGAACUAGUCUCA